GGGUUGUGAGGUUAAGUGACUAAGCGUAYACGGUGGAUGCCUAGGCAGUCAGAGGCGAUGAAGGGCGUGCUAAUCUGCGAAAAGCGUCGGUAAGGUGAUAUGAACCGUUAUAACCGGCGAUACCCGAAUGGGGAAACCCAGUGUGUUUCGACACACUAUCAUGUCAUGAAUACAUAGUGGCAUGAGGCGAACCGGGGGAACUGAAACAUCUAAGUACCCCGAGGAAAAGAAAUCAACCGAGAUUCCCCCAGUAGCGGCGAGCGAACGGGGAGGAGCCCAGAACCUGAAUCGGCUUGUGUGUUAGUGGAAGCGUCUGGAAAGUCGCGCAGCAAAGGGUGAUAGCCCCGUACACUAAAAUGCACAGGUCGUGAGUUCGAUGAGUAGGGCGGGACACGUGACAUCCUGUCUGAAUAUGGGGGGACCAUCCUCCAAGGCUAAAUACUCCUGACUGACCGAUAGUGAACCAGUACCGUGAGGGAAAGGCGAAAAGAACCCCGGCGAGGGGAGUGAAAUAGAACCUGAAACCGUGUACGUACAAGCAGUGGGAGCACCUUCGUGGUGUGACUGCGUACCUUUUGUAUAAUGGGUCAGCGACUUAUAUUUUGUAGCAAGGUUAACCGUAUAGGGGAGCCGUAGGGAAACCGAGUCUUAACUGGGCGAWUAGUUGCAAGGUAUAGACCCGAAACCCGGUGAUCUAGCCAUGGGCAGGUUGAAGGUUGGGUAACACUAACUGGAGGACCGAACCGACUAAUGUUGAAAAAUUAGCGGAUGACUUGUGGCUGGGGGUGAAAGGCCAAUCAAACCGGGAGAUAGCUGGUUCUCCCCGAAAGCUAUUUAGGUAGCGCCUCGUGAACUCAUCUUCGGGGGUAGAGCACUGUUUCGGCUAGGGGGCCAUCCCGGCUUACCAAACCGAUGCAAACUCCGAAUACCGAAGAAUGUUAUCACGGGAGACACACGGCGGGUGCUAACGUCCGUCGUGAAGAGGGAAACAACCCAGACCGCCAGCUAAGGUCCCAAAGUCAUGGUUAAGUGGGAAACGAUGUGGGAAGGCAUAGACAGCCAGGAUGUUGGCUUAGAAGCAGCCAUCAUUUAAAGAAAGCGUAAUAGCUCACUGGUCGAGUCGGCCUGCGCGGAAGAUGUAACGGGGCUAAACCAUGCACCGAAGCUGCGGCAGCGACGCUUAGCGUUGUUGGGUAGGGGAGCGUUCUGUAAGCCGUUGAAGGUGGCCUGUGAGGGUUGCUGGAGGUAUCAGAAGUGCGAAUGCUGACAUAAGUAACGAUAAAGCGGGUGAAAAGCCCGCUCGCCGGAAGACCAAGGGUUCCUGUCCAACGUUAAUCGGGGCAGGGUGAGUCGACCCCUAAGGCGAGGCUGAAAAGCGUAGUCGAUGGGAAACAGGUUAAUAUUCCUGUACUUGGUGUUACUGCGAAGGGGGGACGGAGAAGGCUAGGCURGCCGGGCGACGGUUGUCCCGGUUUAAGCGUGUAGGGGGUGUGACCUGGUAAAUCCGGUUGCAUACUAACCCUGAGGCGUGAUGACGAUGCACUACGGUGCARAAGUAGUUGAUGCCCUGCUUCCAGGAAAAUCCUCUAAGCUCCAGGUAACAUUAAAUCGUACCCCAAACCGACACAGGUGGUCAGGUAGAGAAUACCAAGGCGCUUGAGAGAACUCGGGUGAAGGAACUAGGCAAAAUGGUGCCGUAACUUCGGGAGAAGGCACGCUGGCAUGUAGGUGAAGUCCCUUGCGGAUGGAGCUGAAGCCAGUCGAAGAUACCAGCUGGCUGCAACUGUUUAAUAAAAACACAGCACUGUGCAAACACGAAAGUGGACGUAUACGGUGUGACGCCUGCCCGGUGCUGGAAGGUUAAUUGAUGGGGUCAGCCGCAAGGCGAAGCUCUUGAUCGAAGCCCCAGUAAACGGCGGCCGUAACUAUAACGGUCCUAAGGUAGCGAAAUUCCUUGUCGGGUAAGUUCCGACCUGCACGAAUGGCGUA
rnacentral:rRNA from 1 species